AAAGAAUUAAUUUAAUUUAAAAUAUAGAAAUGUCAAACCUAAAAUAUACCACGUAUAUUCUUUU
rnacentral:tRNA from 1 species